UAGGGAAUCUUCCGCAAUGGGCGAAAGCCUGACGGAGCAACGCCGCGUGAGUGAUGAAGGUCUUCGGAUCGUAAAACUCUGUUAUUAGGGAAGAACAAAUGUGUAAGUAACUAUGCACGUCUUGACGGUACCUAAUCAGAAAGCCACGGCUAACUACGUGCCAGCAGCCGCGGUAAUACGUAGGUGGCAAGCGUUAUCCGGAAUUAUUGGGCGUAAAGCUCGCGUAGGCGGUUUUUUAAGUCUGAUGUGAAAGCCCACGGCUCAACCGUGGAGGGUCAUUGGAAACUGGAAAACUUGAGUGCAGAAGAGGAAAGUGGAAUUCAAUGUGUAGCGGUGAAAUGCGCAGAGAUGUGGAGGAACACCAGUGGCGAAGGCGACUUUCUGGUCUGUAUCUGACGCUGAUGUGCGAAAGCGUGGGGAUCAAACGGG
rnacentral:rRNA from 1 species